GACAGAGGGUGCAAACGUUGUUCGGAAUUACUGGGCGUAAAGGGCGCGUAGGCGGAUAUUUAAGUCGGGGGUGAAAGCCCAGGGCUCAACCCUGGAAUUGCCUUCGAUACUGGAUAUCUUGAGUUCGGGAGAGGUGAGUGGAAUGCCGAGUGUAGAGGUGAAAUUCGUAGAUAUUCGGCGGAACACCAGUGGCGAAGGCGACUCACUGGCCCGAUACUGACGCUGAGGCGCGAAAGCGUGGGGAGCAAACAGG
rnacentral:rRNA from 1 species